rnacentral:lncRNA from 1 species
UGGAGUUUCUUAAGUUCUAGGCCUGUUUACCUAAUAUUCUGGACAUUCUAUCUUUACUAAACACAUGUCUAUCGUAUCAAAUGAUUCUACAAAUUUUUUUUGCUUCUAUGGCAUUUUCUUAUUUACUUUGUUCUGCUUUAAUUUUUUUCCAUGACCAUAUAUCAUUUGUAAAUGGAUUAUUUUACUAAAGAAAUCUAACUUUUCCCGAAAAUUCCCCCGGAAAACUUUUCUUACUCACCCCCUCUCUACCCCUUCUCACGACUACUGGGCCCCCACGGCACGGACCCCACUUUUCCUAUUCACUCUACCCACC